GCACUGCUGAUCAGACCCAACAGGUCGAAACAGCUGUCUAGUGC
rnacentral:hammerhead_ribozyme from 1 species